rnacentral:tRNA from 1 species
GGAGAGAUGGCCGAGUGGUUGAAGGCGUAGCACUGGAACUGCUAUGUAAGCUUUUUUUUUUUUUACCGAGGGUUCGAAUCACUCAUUAGUUUCUCUCCA